GACAGAGGUGCCAAGCGUUAGGCGGAAUCACUGGGCUUAAAGCGUGUGUAGGCGGAAUUGUAAGUACCUUGUGAAAUCCCACGGCUCAACCGUGGAACUGCUCGGUAUACUGCUUUUCUUGAGCCACUUAGGGGCUGUCGGAACAAACGGUGGAGCGGUGAAAUGCGUAGAGAUCGGAAAGAACACCAACGGCGAAAGCACUCUGCUGGGCCGACACUGACACUGAGAGACGAAAGCUAGGGGAGCGAAUGGG
rnacentral:rRNA from 1 species